ACCUGGGUGGCUCAGUCGGUUGAGCGUCCGACUUCGGCUCAGGUCAUGAUGUCGCGGUCUGUGGGUUCGAGCCCCACGUCGGGCU
rnacentral:tRNA from 1 species